rnacentral:rRNA from 1 species
CCUGAACACAACUGAGCUCCUCUGAUCUCAGAAGGUAAGCAGG